rnacentral:rRNA from 1 species
UGAUCCUGGCUCAGGACGAACGCUGGCGGCGUGCUUAACACAUGCAAGUCGAACGAAGAGCGAUGGAAGCUUGCUUCUAUCAAUCUUAGUGGCGAACGGGUGAGUAACGCGUAAUCAACCUGCCCUUCAGAGGGGGACAACAGUUGGAAACGACUGCUAAUACCGCAUACGAUCUAAUCUCGGCAUCGAGGAUAGAUGAAAGGUGGCCUCUACAUGUAAGCUAUCACUGAAGGAGGGGAUUGCGUCUGAUUAGCUAGUUGGAGGGGUAACGGCCCACCAAGGCGAUGAUCAGUAGCCGGUCUGAGAGGAUGAACGGCCACAUUGGGACUGAGACACGGCCCAGACUCCUACGGGAGGCAGCAGUGGGGAAUCUUCCGCAAUGGACGAAAGUCUGACGGAGCAACGCCGCGUGAGUGAUGACGGCCUUCGGGUUGUAAAGCUCUGUUAAUCGGGACGAAAGGCCUUCUUGCGAAUAGUGAGAAGGAUUGACGGUACCGGAAUAGAAAGCCACGGCUAACUACGUGCCAGCAGCCGCGGUAAUACGUAGGUGGCAAGCGUUGUCCGGAUUUAUUGGGCGUAAAGCGAGCGCAGGCGGUCAAUUAAGUCUGAUGUGAAAGCCCCCGGCUCAACCGGGGAGGGUCAUUGGAAACUGGUUGACUUGAGUGCAGAAGAGGAGAGUGGAAUUCCAUGUGUAGCGGUGAAAUGCGUAGAUAUAUGGAGGAACACCGGUGGCGAAAGCGGCUCUCUGGUCUGUAACUGACGCUGAGGCUCGAAAGCGUGGGGAGCGAACAGGAUUAGAUACCCUGGUAGUCCACGCCGUAAACG